rnacentral:misc_RNA from 1 species
CGCACAUUGCGCCCCCUGGCAUUCCGGGGGGCAUGCCCGUUCGAGCGUCAUAUAACAAACCUCACGCCUGGCGUGGUGAUGGGCCCUGCGGACCAGCAGGCCUCAAAUGCGGUGGCUAUUAAUUAGUAAAUGGGGAGUCCUGUAGCAUGGUGCCGCAAAUAUCGACAAAUAUAUGCGGCGCGGAGUUUGUACGCCCCUGCCAUUUCAACGCGUUCGCGCGGUGUCGGGAGACCGAACACAUACAAGUUUGACCUCGGAUCGGGUAGGAAUACCCGCUGAACUUAA